rnacentral:rRNA from 1 species
CUAACCAGGAUUCCCCUAGUAACGGCGAGUGAAGCGGGAAGAGCUCAAAUUUGUAAUCUGGCGGUCUCAGGCCGUCCGAGUUGUAGUCUAGAGAAGCGUCUUCCGUGCCGGCCCGUGUACAAGUCCCUUGGAACAGGGCGUCAUAGAGGGUGAGAAUCCCGUCUUUGACACGGACUGCCGGUGCUCUGUGAUGCGCUCUCGAAGAGUCGAGUUGUUUGGGAAUGCAGCUCAAAACGGGUGGUAAAUUCCAUCUAAAGCUAAAUAUUGGCGAAAGACCGAUAGCGAACAAGUACCGUGAGGGAAAGAUGAAAAGCACUUUGGAAAGAGAGUUAAACAGUACGUGAAAUUGUUGAAAGGGAAACGCUUGAAGUCAGUCGCGUCUUCCGGGACUCAGCUGGACACUCGUGUCCGGUGUACUUCCCGGUCUGACGGGCCAGCAUCGAUUUCGAUCGUCGGAGAAAGGCUUGGGGAACGUGGCACCUCCGGGUGUGUUAUAGCCCUGGGUCGUAUGCGACGGUGGGGAUCGAGGAUCGCAGCACGCCUUCAUUGGCCGGGGUUCGCCCACGCAACGUGCUUAGGAUGCUGGCGUAAUGGCUUUAAGCGACCCGUCUU